UUAUCAUUAAUCCCCAAAAUUAAUAUUUUAAUUAAACUACCUCUUG
rnacentral:tRNA from 1 species